rnacentral:rRNA from 1 species
CCUACGGGGAGCAGCAGUGGGGGAUAUUGCACAAUGGGGGAAACCCUGAUGCAGCGACGCCGCGUGGGAGAAGAAGUAUUUAGGUAUGUAAAGCCCUAUCAGCAGGGAAGACGAAAUGACGGUACCUGACUAAGAAGCCACGGCUAACUACGUGCCAGCAGCCGCGGUAAUACGUAGGGGGCGAGCGUUAUCCGGAUUCACUGGGUGGAAAGGGAGCGUAGACGGCCAUGCAAGCCAGGGGUGAAAGCCCUGGGCCCAACCCCGGGACUGCCCUUGGAACUGCAUGGCGUGAGUGCGGGAGGGGCAGGCGGAAUUCCUGGGGGAGCGGUGAAAUGCGUAGAUAUCAGGAGGAACACCGGCGGCGAAGGCGGCCUGCUGGACUGCGACUGACGUUGAGGCUCGAAAGCGUGGGGAGCGAACAGGAUUAGAUACCCUAGUAGUC